CACUAUAGUCACCAGAACAACUACAGCUUAUUGAAUUUUUUCUGGGGUGUAGAAUCAUUAACUUCAGGCUUUUUGCACUGUCUUUUCAGAUAACUUCACUGGUCACUCCUCAGAUGGCUGUUAGAGAUGCUUCCUGGGUCAUGGCUGCCUAAAAUGCAUCCAAACAUUCAGUAUCUCUUCCCUCUGCAUGCAGACCCUGAACUUUCCUCAUAGAGAUUCAUUGAUUCAAUUCAUCUGUAUUAAGAGAUGCGGAUUGACCAGGGCUUUGUUUGAAUCACGCUGGCUCUGCUCCGAUCUGCCUCUUUGUCAGUCUCAGCCAAUCCUAUGGGGAAGCAUUGUGAUUGGAUCAGGCCUCCACUUCUGAUGAUGUCAGCAGACAGCUUGUUUUUCUGAGACAAACAGCAUACAGAUCUACAGCUUCAGGUUUGAAUACAGUAAGAUUUUGCUAUAUUUAUGGAGGCAUGAGGGGCCCAGGGAGGCUAGAUGGUGGUUUUAACACUAUAGGGUCAGGAAUACAUGUUUGUGUUCCUGACCCUAUAGUGAUCCUUUAACCGUUCCUGCAUGACUGACAUCAUUUUUUAAUUCUAGGGAUAGCACACCCAUAGAUGUGAAGCAGAAACAAAGAGCUGUCUUGGCCAAAGACAGACAAACUGUUGCUGACAUCCACCAAACUCAGAACUGUGUAUGGUGAGGGACAGUUGAUAUAAGCAAUGUGUGAAGAUGGGUGAAAAAGUUUAAAUAAGGCAAAACAAGUGUUGGAGACAAACUGCAAGACUAUCGACACCAGUCACGGAUAAAAACCAAACCGGUGGAUAAAUUGAUUCACACAGACUGACGGAUAACUGACAGAGAGAUUGUGGCGGAACCUGACUGUGGUCAAAUUGCUGACUUAAAAAAAAAGCAAUCUGUAAGAAAAGACCACGGGAAACAGCUGAAUGCAAUCCAGCUAUGCCAUGAAUAAUGCAUAAGUUCACACUUCUUUGGCAACAUCGCAGGUUUUUCCAAAAACAAGAUGGUCACAUCCACCUUACAGCCCUGAUUUCGCACUCUCAGACUUCGAUUUGUUUAGUCAAAUUAAGGAAAGUCUUCGGAAUGGCGCUUCAAUGAUACAGGUGAAUUGAAAGACGCUAUCAGAUAAUGAGUGAGGGGGUGCCCCAAAGACGUCUUCCAAAUUGGCUUUGAAUAAAAUGGUUUUAAUGAUGCCGCAAAUGCAUAACCACUAGAGGAGACUAUUUUGAAUAGCACUAUGUUGUAGAUAAAGAGUUACUCUAUAUGUGUAUAUAGUUUUUCAUUUAUUUUUUGUCUUGUACAUAAAGGACUAAUGACCUGACAGGC